rnacentral:rRNA from 1 species
UACGAAGGGGGCUAGCGUUGUUCGGAAUUACUGGGCGUAAAGCGCACGUAGGCGGGUGUGUCAGUCAGGGGUGAAAUCCCGAGGCUCAACCUCGGAACUGCCUCCGAUACAGCACAUCUUGAGUCCGGAAGAGGUGAGUGGAAUUCCUAGUGUAGAGGUGAAAUUCGUAGAUAUUAGGAAGAACACCAGUGGCGAAGGCGGCUCACUGGUCCGGUACUGACGCUGAGGUGCGAAAGCGUGGGGAGCAAACAGG